rnacentral:misc_RNA from 1 species
GGCUGCUCGCAGAGUUGAUGCUUUAUUGCUGACCGACUCAAAUGCAUUGCUAUGCGGUAUCCUGACAGAUAAGGACAUAGCGACAAGGGUUAUUGCUCGUGAAGUUAAUAUUCAGGAAACACCAGUUUCAAAGAUCAUGACGAAAAAUCCUGUUUUUGUGCUUUCUGACACACUAGCUGUAGAAGCCUUGCAGAAAAUGGUGCUAGGAAAA